GGAAUCAACGCUGGCGGCGUGCCUAACACAUGCAAGUCGCACGAGAAAGGGACUUCGGUCCUGAGUACAGUGGCGCACGGGUGAGUAACACGUGAAUAAUCUACCUCCGAGUGGGGAAUAACUGAGAGAAAUCUUAGCUAAUACCGCAUAACACUUACGAGUCAAAGCAGCAAUGCGCUUGGAGAGGAGUUCGCGGCAGAUUAGUUAGUUGGCGGGGUAAUGGCCCACCAAGACGAUGAUCUGUA
rnacentral:rRNA from 1 species